AAGGUGGUUGGGGAGGGAAGGCAGUCAUAGCACACCAGUGUUUGCAGUUCAGGGUGGCCUGUGACAACAGGGCCGGCCAAGAGGCAGAGGCUGGCACAGAAAGGCCUAGAAGUGAGGUCUGUGGUGGAGUCUGUGGUUGUGGAAGCCACAGUCUCUGUGUGUCCCUCCUGCCCCUGUCCCACAGGCCUGUGUGUGGAGUGGCUGGUAUCCCGUCCUCGCAGAGCGGAGCCCAGCACCACGGGCAGCACCCGGCCGGCUCAGCCGCCCCCUUGCCUCACUGCUCCCAUGCGGGCAGCACGGGCUCAGCCCUGGCCUACCGGACCCAGAUGGACACAUCACCUGCCAUCCUCAUGCCUUCCAGUCUGCAGACCCCUCAGACCCAGGAGCAGAAUGGGAUUCUAGACUGGCUUAGGAAACUGCGUUUGCACAAGUAUUACCCCGUCUUUAAGCAGCUCUCCAUGGAGAAGUUUUUGAGCCUUACUGAAGAAGAUCUGAAUAAAUUUGAGUCUCUCACCAUGGGGGC
rnacentral:sRNA from 1 species